CCUCAAGAUGAGAUUUCCCAUAGCAUAAGCUAGUAAGACCCCUUGAAGAACACAAGGUUGAUAGGUCAGAGGUGUAAGUGUGGUAACAUAUUUAGCUGAUUGAUACUAAUAGGUCGAGGGCUUGACCAA
rnacentral:rRNA from 1 species